rnacentral:rRNA from 1 species
UAAGGAAUAUUGGUCAAUGGACGCAAGUCUGAACCAGCCAUGCCGCGUGAAGGAUGAAGGUCCUCUGGAUUGUAAACUUCUUUUAUCUGGGACGAAAACGGGAUUUUUAUCUCAAUUGACGGUACCAGAGGAAUAAGCACCGGCUAACUCCGUGCCAGCAGCCGCGGUAAUACGGAGGGUGCGAGCGUUAUCCGGAUUUACUGGGUUUAAAGGGUGCGUAGGUGGGCUUAUAAGUCAGUGGUGAAAUCUCCGAGCUUAACUUGGAAACUGCCGUGGAUACUAUAGGUCUUGAAUUAUCUGGAGGUAAGCGGAAUAUGUCAUGCAGCGGUGAAAUGCUUAGAUAUGACAUAGAACACCAAUUGCGAAGGCAGCUUACUACAUAUAAAUUGACGCUGAGGCACGAAAGCGUGGGGAUCAAACA